rnacentral:rRNA from 1 species
UGGGGAAUAUUGCACAAUGGGCGCAAGCCUGAUGCAGCCAUGCCGCGUGUGUGAAGAAGGCCUUCGGGUUGUAAAGUACUUUCAGUCGGGAGGAAGGUGGUAAGGUUAAUAACCUUAUCAAUUGACGUUACCGACAGAAGAAGCACCGGCUAACUCCGUGCCAGCAGCCGCGGUAAUACGGAGGGUGCAAGCGUUAAUCGGAAUUACUGGGCGUAAAGCGCACGCAGGCGGUUGAUUGAGUCAGAUGUGAAAUCCCCGGGCUUAACCCGGGAAUUGCAUCUGAUACUGGUCAGCUAGAGUCUUGUAGAGGGGGGUAGAAUUCCAUGUGUAGCGGUGAAAUGCGUAGAGAUGUGGAGGAAUACCGGUGGCGAAGGCGGCCCCCUGGACAAAGACUGACGCUCAGGUGCGAAAGCGUGGGGAGCAAACAGG